UUCAAUAAAAUUUUUGUAAAUAGAUACAUAUAAUGUAUGUAUGUACCCAGGUCAUCGAUGGAGAUUGCAUUCAGAGAAAAAAUAUUAUCUUGUUCAAGGACAACAACUUCUGCGAAAAAAAUAUUUGCGGACCUAGAUGUGAUCUUUUUUAUCAUAUGAUACUUGUCACCGCAUUGUAUCAAUAAUUCGCGGAAAAAUGCAGAGUCGAUAAACGCUAUUCAAUGUAAUGACACCUCAUAUGAUAAAUUCAACAAUUACCGACCGCGAUCUAUAAUCUCUAAAAUCAAUACGCCGCCAUUUUGUCGACUCUUAUAGUCUCGGUACAUGUCGCCUAUUUUCUCAAGAAAAUACGAAGAUCCAAUGUCUCACGCCGAAAUAUCGUGAGAGUAAUAACGAAAGCGUGAUUAAACAAUGAUCGGGAGCGCCUGAAACAACUGAUAACGCAAAAUUACACGAAAAAUUCACUCACCGGCCGACGAAUCACGACACGAGGGGGUGAAGAGGUGAGGGAGGAGGUAGCGUUGCUUUCUUCCUGUAAUCCACCAAAAGGCACUUGAGCUGGCUGACACACCAGUAACACUAUUCUGAUUUCUUUUCACUUCACAGACACUUGCGGAUUUAUUCCGCUUUAAACCGCCCGAAGAAAACACACAAAUUAAUCGCUCAUUAAUACGGCACUCCCGGCACUCGCGACCGACAAACGCAUCCGAUGCAUUUGGAGCACGAAUCGGCCGGAUUUUCGUCGUUCAGGCCUCGCCUCUUACGUUCGAUUAUUCCGCCUCGAUCUCUACCGCGAACGAGACCAUCUGAUCCAAGCAGGAUCGCGAAACACUCGCGAAAUUCACCGAAACUCGAACGACCGACACGACAAAGGACGAGGACCCGAAGACGGUUGGCGCGUUACUUGCUGUAUUUCGCGUUUGAAUAUCUCAAGAUAUUAAUCUCGCGCUGUGAUUGGCCGGUCGCCGCGACGUAAUCAUAGACCAGUAAGCAGGGGUCAGGUGUAAUCAAGAUGGUCGCACGUUGCACCGUAAUCGUAAACCGUACUCGACUGUGAUUGGCCGAUCGCCGUGACGUAAGGGUAAACAGCGCUCAGCUGUGCUUUAAAACGAUCGCACUGUAAUUGUAUAGAUGACAUUGAUCGAUCGUCGCGUCUAAGUAUCGAACAAGCCUAAAUUAAUCUAACCUGAGUUUUGCAAUGUAUUAUUUAUACUUUAUUGAUAAAUGGAUCAUAAUGUUAUUUAUCAAUACUAUCACUUCAGUUGCAGUAAAAUUUGGUAUAUCAUUUAUGAUUUUUAUAUGUUCUUUAGAUUUAUAUUUCGAGAAAGAUUUCUAUAAGAUUGCUCAAGGUAAUUUUGAAAAGCGGCUGCUGUAGAUUUCCGAGAUGACUUUCGCAAGUUUCGUAGAAGCUAAUCAUCACUUAUAUUAAAUACUCCUAAUAUAUUAAUAUAGGUAAUUUUGAAAGGCGGCUGCUGUAGAUUUCCGAGAUGACUUUCGCAAGUUUCGUAGAAGAUUUCACCGGUGCGUUUCUUUGAUUGAGAUUUCGCAGAGAGAUUGAACGAGUUUGCGCAAGGAUGCGUAUGACGCGCUUAUUGUAUCCGAUCCUGUGUAAACGAGGACAAAGCGGAAGAAGACGCGGGGGAGACGCGAUGACGGAGUAGGGCGAAUGCGAAAGGGUCGAAAGGGUCGAGAAGCGGUAGAGAAGAGGAAGCAGCAGCUGAAGGAGGGCGAGAGGAGAUGGGAAGGUGAACGCGUACCUCACCUGGCAUACCGGGAGAGUAUCGCGACACAUUUUGAUCGAAUUCUUCUCGAGGUCGGGGAAUGCCGGUAUCUCCCGUAGAUAUUAUUACAUAUUUAGGCGGUGCUCGGCGAGCGAGAUAUCUCUCUCUCUCUAUUUUCCACUCCCUUUUCUCUCCCUUUUCACCUCCCUCUGUUCCUUUCUCGCUUCUCGUUUCGGUGAGUUAAUACACUUGGAGAAACGUAUUCUCUCUCUUUUCCAACCCCCUUUCAUCCCUCUCUCUCUCUCUCUCUC